rnacentral:rRNA from 1 species
AGAGAUCAUGGCUCAGAUUGAACGCUGGCGGCAUGCUUUACACAUGCAAGUCGAACGGCAGCGCGGGGCAACCUGGCGGCGAGUGGCGAACGGGUGAGUAAUAUAUCGGAACGUACCCAAGAGUGGGGGAUAACGUAGCGAAAGUUACGCUAAUACCGCAUACGAUCCAAGGAUGAAAGUGGGGGACCUUCGGGCCUCAUGCUCCUGGAGCGGCCGAUAUCUGAUUAGCUAGUUGGUAGGGUAAAGGCCUACCAAGGCUACGAUCAGUAGCUGGUCUGAGAGGACGACCAGCCACACUGGAACUGAGACACGGUCCAGACUCCUACGGGAGGCAGCAGUGGGGAAUUUUGGACAAUGGGCGCAAGCCUGAUCCAGCAAUGCCGCGUGAGUGAAGAAGGCCUUCGGGUUGUAAAGCUCUUUUGUCAGGGAAGAAACGGCUGAGGUUAAUACCUUUGGCUAAUGACGGUACCUGAAGAAUAAGCACCGGCUAACUACGUGCCAGCAGCCGCGGUAAUACGUAGGGUGCAAGCGUUAAUCGGAAUUACUGGGCGUAAAGCGUGCGCAGGCGGUUUUGUAAGUUUGUCGUGAAAGCCCCGGGCUCAACCUGGGAAUUGCGAUGAAGACUGCAAGGCUUGAAUCUGGCAGAGGGGGGUAGAAUUCCACGUGUAGCAGUGAAAUGCGUAGAGAUGUGGAGGAACACCGAUGGCGAAAGCAGCCCCCUGGGUCAAGAUUGACGCUCAUGCACGAAAGCGUGGGGAGCAAACAGGAUUAGAUACCCUGGUAGUCCACGCCCUAAACGAUGUCUACUAGUUGUCGGG